ACACUUCUGAAGAGUGCCAAAAUAGGACAAAACAACCGUCCAGUAU
rnacentral:hammerhead_ribozyme from 1 species